GGGUUGUGAGGUUAAGCGACUAAGCGUACACGGUGGAUGCCCUGGCAGUCAGAGGCGAUGAAGGACGUGCUAAUCUGCGAUAAGCGCCGGUAAGGUGAUAUGAACCGUUAUAACCGGCGAUUUCCGAAUGGGGAAACCCAGUGUGAUUCGUCACACUAUCAUUAACUGAAUCCAUAGGUUAAUGAG
rnacentral:rRNA from 2 species